GUGUCGUAUGGACAGAAGGUUAGCGCUCCCCUUGACAAGGGUGGAAGAGGACCUCGGGCAGGUACAACACACAUACAAUUAAGUCAUUACCACCUACUUAGUGGCAUCUAAACAUGGUUCUGG